AAGAACUUUAAAAGAUAAUGGUGAUGAUAGCGUAGGUGUUCACCUCUUCCCAUUCCGCACAGAGCAGUUAAGCCCUACCGCGCCGAUGGUACUGCCGUAACAGGUGGGAGAGUAGGUCAUUGCCAACC
rnacentral:rRNA from 1 species